rnacentral:lncRNA from 1 species
UUUUAUACUCCUCCUCCAUCAUUUUCUCCCUUUAUUUAUUUAUUUAUUUAUUUAUUUAUUUAUACUAAUUCUCAUAAUUAUAUGAUUUCUUAUAUAAAAAAUGUGACACAUUUAGAAUUUGAAAUAGUCCUAUAUAUAUCAGGUAUAAUAGGGUUAAACCUCUUAAUUCAUCUAUAGUAUUUUGGGCGGUGCCUAGACCCAAAAAGAUAAGAGAGUUAAGCUUGCAAGGACUAAGUUGUUCUAGAAUUGAUGACCUAUUUGCGAAGCGGGGCAUCACAGUUGGUAUCAGAGCCAAUCACUAGCCGAAAGUAUGAGAUGAGUUUAAUCUGAGCUAGGGUCAUACAGUGGACAGAGCAUGGCUCCCCAACUGACGACCGUUGUGAGUGGAGUGCAACUCCCCACAAAGUCUGCAGGUCGACUAAGGCUAGCGAGAUGAGUCUCACAUUGCCUGAUGAUUUUGAGUGCGCAUGAGUCUGACAAGAACGUCAGGGCUUAAAGGUGAGAGGAAUAUGGCACUCCUAGAAUUGGAACACCGAUCGACACCGAUUGACGAACACGAACGAAGUAACAAUUUGACAUGUAUCAUUCUGAGUUUCAAUCUCAUGAUACAAUCAAACUUAAACAAGAGGCGAAAAUGAAUCACUUUUGUAUCAUUGCACAAAUAAUAUAUCCAACAUUACAAAGAAAAUACUGAAGCAAAAGCAAAUGCAUCAUACAAUAUUCAAAAGAGAGAGAUUCAUUUUUGGCUUCUACAUGUUAGAAACAUAUGAAGUAUCAGUUACAAAAUAGAUAUAUAUAUAUAUAUAUAUAUAAUAAAGGAGCACGAACAGAGCUGGGGCCAACUCGCUCGUGUUUGGCCAGUUGACAACUUUAUUUUUACCAUAUCAAGUUAUAGAUACCCUCAUACCCAUGCAUCUUCAUGUUUCAGGCCCCAAAUUCGACUCCGAGAGGGAUAAAAAUACGGAUUCUGAAGUUUAUGGAAUCUACUGGCUGUGUCAGGAAUAAGAAAGAAUAGCUUAUUCCAGAACUAAACGGUAGCUGUACAGUUCAAUAUAACCGCUUUUAGCAUCCGAAAUGGAAGCGUACUUUUCCCGAACUCGCUUAAAUAAACAAUAAUCUCAUGAAAUUUCAUGAAUACAGCCACAAACACAAGAACAUUAUUAUGAAGCCAUUGUUUCAAAAUCUGGAGGAGCAAACCACCCCAGCUCUUCAGCAAUCCUCCUGACCCUCUCCUUUUGGCCUUUGGAGUCACCUAAAGCUGUUGUGAAUGGGUAAACAUAUGUGACCUUUGUGGCCAUGGACCUGUAGGCCACAACAUGAUCCCUUUUCACCAGGAACUCGAGCACGUCGCGCCCGAACCCCCCGUCGACUUCCGCCUGCAGGUAAUGGCCUGAUAUGUAUGUAUGUAUGUAUGUAUGUAUGAUAUUAGGAACACUUUCCAGCAUGAAAAACAAUGAAAAGAUGAAGAUUGAACCCCAAAAGAAGCAAAAUAUAUAGUGUUCUUAUUUAUUCAAUCUAGUUAUGUUUCAAUGGUUCUUCGUCGGCAAUAGGUGAGUUUUGCAUCAGCAAGAUGAAGAUCUUAAAAGGAUUGUAAAGAAAAUAUAACUAACUGCAACAGAUCAAGUUCACAUGGCAGGUCCCCUACUUUGCAGCAAAUUGGUGCUCAGUAUAUAAGCAGAUUAUUGGCAUGUUUAUGGCUGGCUCUAUUUAGUAAGAAGGUUUAGAAUGUCCGAAACUCAGUUACGAAACAAUCAAGUCAUGUUGAAUUAUAUGAAACAACCGUUUUCCUCUAAAAGCUUAAGCUAUCAAAAAAUAGUGUUUAUAUAUUUUAUAGUAAACACUCCUCCUCGGCCUCCUGCUCUGAUACUAUCUUAAAUGAUAUGAAACAGCCGUUUUUCUCUGAAACUUGAAACUACCGGAGAACAACAUUUAUAUAUUUUCUAUUCGACACGAAGAAUGUUUAGUAAUGUUGAAAUUUUAUAUAUCACCAAAAUAUACAAAAUAUUGCCAUGAUAGAUACAAGGAAAUCUGUUGAUUACACCGAUCAUAUGAUUUUGUAUUUUCUCAUUGAAUGAUCAGGAACUCAGCAAUAAGACCACUAACUCAUUCAAAAAUUAAACAAAUCCUUAGUAAUUUUUUUGCCACAUAGAUGCUUUCAAAUUUUUUGUAACAAAUUCUUCUUUUUUCCCCCCCUGUUCUUUUAGGGGAAGAAAAUAGGGCUAUAUCCUAUUUAAAUAGGAUGUAGAGGGAAAAGGGUUAAUUGCACAUCAUUUUCUCAAUUUGGUCCCUAACUUUUCCUCUUUUGGCUAGUAGGUUCCUUGCCUUUAUAUGUUGUCGUAGUUAGGUCCCAAUCAUCGAAAUUUUUGUUAAUUUUGACGAAAUAGGUCACGUCAAAUAUAAUAAAGCUCUGCCUACUCAUAUAGAUCACGGUUAUGGUUCAGUGACCCUGGGUUAAUCUACGAGAUCAAGGUGGUUGUAGGUGCAGAAGACGACAUUGAGGGUAGUGAGAUUGGGCUUGACGCAAUGGACGUGCAUACUUGAAAAGAGGUUAGGGAUCAGAGUGAAAAAAAUUGAUAAAGGUUAGGGACCAAUGGUGCGAUUGGAAGGGUAAACUUGUAAUUUUAUAUAACAUACAAGAUAAUCCUGCACCAUUUAUAAUGAUGCUAUAUUACCGACCAGAUUACAGACUGGACGAACCAAAUGCAAUAAUUCUAACAGGAUUGCCUGUAAUCCUGGCUGGAUAACCCGAACCUUAGACAAAGGUUGGGGACCAAUAGUGCAGUUAACCCUAUACUGAAACUUUGAGCACAUACCGCCGUCCUAUUCUGUGAACAAAAUAGCACUGUAAAAUUAGAACUUUUUUUUUGGGGUCUCUUUCAACCAAUAUUCAGCCCCAUUUGAUAUUGAGGGCCAUCUACCUGCCGGCGGGCAAAAAGGGGUCGGGAUAAAAGAAUACAACGAUGAACUUUUCUAUUUCCCGUUGGAACCGUAAAAAAUAUAUAUCAUAACUAAUUUAUCACGAUAUGCGGAACGUAAUAUUACGUGCGGAAAUAAACAUGAUAUUUCCCCAUUAUUCUUUCUAACUGUAUGCAUCGCAAUAUUUCCGCAAUUCCAAACAGAGCCUUAGUGCAAUUGAGAACUAAUCCACUAAGAUUAAGACUUACCAGUUGGGGUUUCUUCAUCAACAUUGAUCUUCACAUUCCUCUGUGUCUUCAGUACAGCAUCCCUCAGUUUCUGAAAAAGAAAAAAAAGUCAAACACUUAUAUAUAUAUAUGAUAAAAAUAAAUAAAAUUUAGCCAAAUUACAGACUAUUUUGAUUCGACGAUCUAAUCUUUGAAAAAUAUUGAUGUUCCCACUCAAUGUUUCAGCUUGUUUGAUUUAAGUCACUUAACGACUCUUCUGAUAAAAAAUUUAAGCUAAUUUCUUUAAUAAACUUAUAGUUGCAUGAAUGACAAAAAAUAUACUAACUAAAAAUCAUUAACCGACUCGAAUCAAAUAAAUUAAAAGGUUCUAUAAUAAUAUCAAAAUUUUUAAAGCUUUAGUCAAAUCAAAAUGCGCGGCAGUCGAGCUAAAGUUUGAUACAUUUUUCUUUUCACCUUUUCUUUUCAUUCUCUUGAGAUUUUUUUUUUUUUUCCUCUACCUGAAUGGCAUUAUCUGCAGAUUUUUCGGGAAUCAACAGCGGCGAAGCGAACGACGAUGAUUUCGGAUUCGUCGAAACGCACCCGGGAUUAAUUGAUGGACAAGGCCUGAUUUUCCUGCAUCAGGCCCCAAAAUCAACCAAAAAGAAGGCACAUAUAUAUAUAAUUAUGCUACUAUACUAUCGAUAGUACCAAGUACUUGGUAUUAUCGAGUUUUCAGCCGUUGAAUGAAAAUGUGUCUGGUUAGGAGGACGGCGGUCUCCUAGAAUUGAGUGGGUGGUUAGUUGAAUAGUAUAAUCUAACGUGUGAAAAUGAUCAAAAUAGUAAAUCUAACAGCAGAAAAUUUUUGAUACUAUCAAUAGUAUAGUAGUCAGACUCUCUCUCUCUCUCUCUCUCUCUCUCUAUAUAUAUAUAUGUUUUCAAUAAAUGUGUAGAAUUAUUAUUAUUUGAGGGAAGAAGAAGAAGAUUUGUACCCAUUUUCCAAUCCCAGUUGCAGCAGGUUCUUGGACUGGGAGUAUGGGGUUGUGGGAUUUUGUAGAGAGGAAUCACUCAUAAAAGUGGGAGAAGGGAUUGCAUGAGAAGGUAAAGGAGAGUUCAAAGCUAGGGUUAGGGCUAAAGAAAGAGGGAAAAAACUAGCCGUUAGGGUUUGAAUCUUGGGGUAAGGAAUAGUAGUAGUAGUAUUAGAGCAGGGGAAUGGGGAGCAAUUGGGAACUCUUUGUAGAGACAUUUAUUUAUCUCUCUUUCUUUUCUUUUUUUUUCUCCCCUUAGCUUUAUUAUCCUUUUGUAUCAUAUGUUUAUGUGGUGCUGUGGUGUGUGGGUUAUGUUGUUGUGGUGGUGGGUCAAAUUGGCAGAAGCAGGGAGAGUGAUCAGAAAAGGAGUCUGAGAAUUUGAAAAGAGCGACUGCUAUGUUUUUACAUGUGAAUUUUAGGGCAUGUUUGAAAACAUUACAAUUUUAUAAGAGUUGAGAAAGCACGGAAGCUCAAUAUAUUUAUUACUUUUUAGUUAUCUGAUCGUCUCAAAAUCCGUACAGUAUUAGUAACGAUGAUUUAAUGGGAUAUGCCGUUAAUAAUGUUGUAUAAAAUUUGAGUACAUGUACAAAUACUCCUCUCCUUUCAAAAGCACAGGAACUCAACUCUAUAAUAUAGUAUUGAACUGUUCUUAUUGUAUUUUAGAAUAUCAAAAAAUGACAAAAUACUACAAAAAUGCCGUGAUUUUGUUGUAAAAGUAAAACAAGCUCAAAUGUUCUGAAUCUCUGCGUUUGCUUAUUACUUACUAUCGUAAUACAUGUAUAUUAAUAUAGCAUUUCUAUUUCUGCUAUAAAAUAUUAUUAAACAUAUAUAUUAAUUAAUAUAGUAUUUCUUUUCAAAUAACAUUACUCCAAUAGAGAAUUUUAUCAAUUAGUACUACACUCUGCGACGGAGAAAAUACAUGACCCCCUAGUACAACUUCUUGGGUCUCAUCAAAUAUUUGUUUUGCUGACUGCUGUUUUCCAGAGAUGAGAAAUAAUUUCAGCAGCCAGCCAGGUCAAAUAAGCACAAAGGAACAGUCUGGCCUGUAGAGCUGCUGCUGCAAAACUUUGAAGAAAAUUUUUCCAAACAAUUUUCUGAACUGGAUCUGCAAAGCUAACAACUGGGAGAGCAAUAUCACAACUGGGAGAGCAAUAUCAAGAGAAAAAUAACAACAAAAAUAAUCAGACUCUAACAUAUGAGUAACAAGAUUGCAAAGGGGCGGAUAUAGGAGAAUGCAAUGAUACAAAAUGGUUCGAGACCAAACUGGAACUAUGUUUUGUUUUGUUACAUCGUGAUGUCAUCUCUUCUUGAAGCCGUACUUCUUCCGCUCGUAGAAGAGGUCGGUCUUGGCGCUGCCGAGGUUGACGAUCUUGGGGCAGCCGUCGCGGUCCUUCUCCUGCUGCGUGCACUCCUUGCAGUAGUAGGCGUCGGAGAUGCCGACGCCGCCGCAGAUGACGCACCGACCCUGGAACGAGCCGUAGUUGCACUCGUCGCACACGCGGACGAGCGUGCACGGCCGGACGUACGAGUCGCAGAUCACGCACUUGCCGUCGCACUUCUCGCACAGCCGCCCGAUCGCGAUCCCCGGCUGCUUCCGGCACAUUAUCAGGUCGGGGUGGUGCUUAGCCAUGAUAUCUGGUCUGAAGCUCUAGCAAUGAAAGCCCUAUAGGAUAAUGAGAAGGUAUGAAAGGAGAGAAGGGGAAAAAAAAAAAAAAGCAGUGGGGAAAGGGGGGGGGAGUGGGCAAGGCCCAGUUACAGUGACAAACAUGAUUUUGACAAUGACAGUUUUAAUGGUGUUUCAACAAAGAAUUCUUAUACAAAAACCAUGGUAGUAACCCUAGAGAAUGGGAAGAGCUAUACAAAGCACUGGGUGGAAAAUUGCGCUAUAAGAGUAUAUCACAGGUAGGAAUUUCUCAAGUUUCCCCAAAAUAUAAAAUAAGGGUCAAGCUUCUGUUCCGCCAGCAAUUGGAGAUUAGAUGCAAUAGAACAAUAGAGUUAAUGAAACUAACAGCAUAUUUAGCAUUCUUUAAGUUUUUCACUUUUGUUUACUAGUUUGGGGUUCAAUGUCGUUAAAGGCAACUACUAUGUCGCAACUUCUCUUUGUUUCUUUUUUCUCCCUAACAUUGAGUCAAAAAACUAAUAAAGAAUAACAAAUCUAAAGACGAACAUCACUAGGUGACCUUCAUGUUUCCACUUAGAUUCGGAUAUUCAAUCAUGUUUCAUCCUACACUGCAUGUCCCUGAACGAGUACCGAAUGCUACCAAACAAAACAGUAAAAGGGAAACAACUUCUACAGGUCAGUCAACCAGCAUCAACGUAACAGAUAGACAAAUGAAGCAUGAAGUUAACUCAUAAACAAACUCAACAAAAAUCAAACUGCGAGUAACUUAAAUAAUUAUAUAUAUAGAAUCAAACAAAAAGACAUAACAGCUACAUGCAUUGCAUCUACAUCAUAACUACUAUGGAAAUCAUAGCAACAAGCUUACCGUGUGCUUUGAAAUAAACAAUGAAAAGGUGCUUACUGUAGCCAGUAUUACAGUAUAAGAUACCCACGUUUGAGAAAACCUUUUUCCCAAGUAUAUGGUGUACUAUAGUUAGCUUAUAUAACACUCUUUGCAGGUACAUCUCCUAAGCUAAACUUAAUGAUUGUUUCGACUUCAAAAUUAUUUGCUAUAUUAUUUACCAAAUAAUUCAUUUAGUUAUUCUGGUAAUCACUUGGAUCAAACUUCACAUGUUUGCUAUGAAGAUUUCCCUAACAAGCUAGCUGUCCUCUAUGAUUUAUGAUGUGCACAAAAAGGAACCUCGACUUCUUAACUUCUUUUUAGCUAUAUAUGCUCUAUUUAAACAAAUGGCAUCAAGUGACGGCAGAAACUGAAACUACUAUUUGCAGUCUCACAAACACCAAGCAUCUACCUACCCAAUACCCAAUAUUUGGAGUGAGAAAAUGAGAAUCAAUAACUGCUCUCAUUUGAAAAUUAAGACCCUAAACGAGAAAUAACAAACAAAAUCAUUACAGGAUAUAUACCACCAAAAUUAUAUGUGAGUUGGUUAGUCAGAACUGUGACAAAAUCAUCAUAAAUUCAUUAUAGAGGGAAGAUCCCAAUAAUUCUCUUUGAAUCAUUACAAUAUGAAGAUUCAGAGAGUUCUCUUUGAAAUCACCACUGUUAAAAUAAGCUCAGACAAUUCAGGGAAACGAUUCAGUUCAAACAAUUCAGGAAAGAAACAAAUUCAUUCAUUUGCUUUGAUUCGACCAACUUUAUCAUUUGUCAAAACUAAUUGUUUCAUUAGCUAAUAGUAGUUAUUGAUUAUCGAAAAUUUUAGUUUCAUCAACUAGAAAGCAAGCAGAGCCGUUAAAUUUAAUAGUCAUAGCUGUCAAAUUCAACAAAAUCCCUGUUUCAUCUGACGUAAAUAAUUCACAUCAAAACAAUUUAAAGUUGAUACGAUAUCAAUCAAGGAAAUAAAGUUUAGGAGCCUACUUCAUUAUGGCCUAUAGUUGAGGGGGUCUCCAUACAUCUUAAUGAUCAUCAAAACGAACAUGGAGAUACAUAGGGAAUCAAAAUCUACAAGGAAUAACUCUUAUCCCAAAACAUAAUUCAAGUUACCGGUCGUAAAUUAGGGUUUGUAAGGCCCUCUACUACGAUGAUCACGUCAACAAUCCCCAAAAACAGUGCAUCAGUAGAAAGAGGGAAUCAUCAAUCUCGUAUCCAAAACAUAAUCCAGAGCACAAAUAGAAGAGGGGAAAAAAAAAAAAUCUAAAAUCCACAAGCAAUAAUUCCUCUUACACCAAAACACAAUCCAAAUAAUAAUAAACAAAAUCAGGGAUCCUAAGAAACAACGCUAAAGAUAAUCACAUCAAACGCCCCAAAAAAAUCGCGUCAUUCGAACAAAAAUUUCGACUCACCUCUCAAAAGCAAACCAAAUCGUUGAUCUCUAAUCCACAGAGUAUAGGAAGCACCAAAAAUCGAAAAAAAAGAGAAAAAAUCCACAAGCAGCAACUCUUAUUCCCACACGUAAUCCAAGUCACAGAUCAAGCAAAUUAGGGAUUCUAACAAGUUCUACUACAAAUAAUCACAUCAAAAACCCUUAAAAUUACUAUUAAUAGCAUAUAAAUCACGACUCACCUCUCAAAAUCGUGUGCAAAAUCGUCGAAGUCGAACUCUCCUCUCCUCAGAUCGAAACCCUUCUCCAACGCUCUCGAUCUCUCCCGAAUAUAUUAUAUUUUAGAUAUAAAUACAAAUAUAAAUAUUUAUAGUAUUUGUUUCCGAUUCCGCUACUCCUCCACCUCGAUAUUUGCAAUCCCACACUGCCUACGUGGCAAGAUAUGAACCGCAAGUUAGUAGAGCGGGACCCACCACGCCUUGGAGUAAUAACCAAUCAUUAUUCACCACGUGGAUUAGUAUUUAGUUCUUCUUCUCCCUCCGCGUGGUAUCAUACUAGGGAUUCCGAAUCGAGGUUCGGGGGGUUUAGGGUUAGGGCUAGGGUUAGGGUUUUGGAAUCGACAUUAAAGGGGGGUUUUGGGGAAGGAGAGAGUAUCGGGAGGGGAAGAGUGUUUAGGGUUAGGGUUAGGGUUUGGUAUGGCGGGGAGGAGCCGGAAGGAGGCGGCGGCGGAGGGGCAGAGGCACCUGGAGGAGACGAUCGCCGCGGCGUUCCAGAUCCUCUCCUCCAUGAACGACGAGCUCUGCAACCCCGCGCUCUGGUCAUCAUCCUCCUCCUCCUCCUCCGCCGCCGCCGCCGCCGCCCAUCCUCCGCCCACCGGCGCCGGCGGCGGAGGCGUCGACUCGUCCGACUCCUCCUCUCACAUCUCCGACGGCGCCGCCGCCACCGCCUCCGCCGCCUCCGGCGGAGGAAGCGGCGGAGCUCUCGACGACGCCCGGCACCGGUACAAGUCGGCGGUCGCCGCGCUACGCGCUUCCAUCGCCGCCAUUUCCGCUUCUACUCAGGUAUAGACGAACAAAUCACCACAAUUUCGUUAUGAUCUUUUUAGGGUUAAUCGCAUUGCUAAUUCUCGAACUUCUACAAAAAAGUGAAGUUUCACUUUGAAACUCUAUCAUAGAACUUAAUACUCGCUGAAUACCUACAAUUGUAUCAGAUUGGCUCAUUGACAAUAAAAAAUGAUCCGGAUGUUAGAUUAAGGUUUUCUUUUUCUUCAGAUAAUUAUGUACAUAAAUUUCCUCCAUUGUAUGUAUAUAGUAUGUAUCAUGCGCUUUCUUCGUGCUUUCGAGUUGUUUUCGAUAAUGAAACAUUCGAUUCGACGAUCGGUUUCGUCACUUUGCUUUCGAAAGAUUUUCGCACUUUCAAAUUGUUUUCGAUGAUGGGAUAUCCGAUUCGACGAUAAGCUCUGUUAAGCAUGAUCUACUUUAUUAAAACUAUCUAGAAAUUAAAUUUUAUAGUUUUUCGAUAUCGUUUACUAAGUGAUCAAAAGGUCUCAAAAAUAGCUAAUUUAAUGGCUGAUGUGACACUUUUGUACAUUCAACAGUAUAGAACAAUUCAAAUUUAGUAAAAUUUUAAUAAAAAAAUUUUACUUACCAUCAAGAGCAAGAUCAAUACUUUCGAUUUGAAAUUUGAGUUUUUAUUACUUUUUUUUUUUUUUCAGUCUUUCAUUUUGAGGCUACUUGUUUGCUAGACAAACUAAGUAAAAAAAAUUAUAAAAUUUGAUUUUUAGUUAAUUCCAACACUUUAGAUCAUGUCUAACACCGAUCGCCGAAUCGGAUGUCCCAUCAUCGAAACCAACUAGAAAACACAGAGGCUUCCGUACUAUCAAAAGCAUAAUAGCUUAGUUCUAUAUAUAUGUGUGUGUGUGUGUGAUUCCGUCAACUUAUCUUGGGCUAUCCAUGCAUUAACUUCAUCCUUGGUCUUCUUCUCCAGUUAAAACGUCGGUAGAUAUGAAAGAAGUUGGAAAUUUAAAGGGAUAAAUUUCACCACUUAAACUUUUUAACAUAUAUAUGUAAUUACCCUUAUUCUUUUUAAACUAUGUACUCUCUAAAGAUGCAAAUUAGAAACUUUCGGCCGAAAUGUUUUUAUAGUUUAUGUUGAUGCAAUUCUUGUUCUUAUCUCAUAUUUGAUUAAAGGAGUAAAGGGAGAUGGUUUGUUUUAUAGUUGUAUUUUGACAUUUUCCGAUGUUGUUAAUGCUGUAGGAGGUGAGCACAUUGGAACCAAAAGCAGAUCAAGUAGAAAUCGAGAGGCUCGAAGAGCGUGCAUCGGCCCUCCGAAAGGUACUCCUUUUCUGUUUGUGAAUAUUAUGUGAUUCAUAUGCUUUAUUCUUGCUUGCUUGUUUGUUUGUUUUUCCUGCGUUUUGUGUCGGAAAUGUUAUGAUAAUCGCUUGUGGCUAUUAAUACCUUCACAUGCCAUUUUGCAUCUUCGCGUUCUAAAUCUCAUUGAAUUAGUUUGAUCUUUUCGGCUAAAAAUGGUAUCAAAGCCAAAUCUAAGCUCUUCCAAUUUUAUGAAGCUACGAAUUUUUUACUAUUUUUCAUGUUUAGUAGGUUAAUUACGAAUUAGAACUUCGUGGACUGAACUUACGAGCUCAAUGUGUAUCUUGUUCGAUCGUGUGACUAAACUUUUGCGAGAAAUUUAUUGUUAACACUUGCUACCAUGGAACUGUAUAUCGAAAAUGAGAUUCCUCCAAAAGGUGUAGAUUCUUGAAGAUGAACAUCUUCAUGAUUCUUUCCCUCUUGAGUGGGGGAAAAACAUCAUAUUCAACUUCAUCAUAGGGAGGAAAAAGAAAAAAGUUGCUUACGUUGCUCGCUUAUCCUUACUAAUAUUGAUAACAUGUUGAGUAGAUAUUAGUCGACGAUUUCUCCUCGGUGAGCACAAUAUGAGUUACAGCGUCAUGCUCAUCAGGAUAGAAAUAACCAAAUAUGAGAUAAAUAAUCACUAGAUAAUAAUUGUCCUUAUUAUGUUUAAACGUGAACUUUCGAUUGCAGGAGAUCGAAAUCAAGAACAGGCAUUUGAAGCUCCUCAUCGACCAACUACGCAACCUGAUCGCCGACAUAUCGAUGUGGCAGAGCCCCUGUUCCGUGUGAAAUCGCGAGUUUCGCGGCCGCUCGGCUAUUCAGAGGAACAGAAUUGUAUUCCUUUGUAUGUUCUCUCUUCUAAAGUGUUGUUAUGUGUUUACAGUGAUUCUCACAUGUGUAUAAAAGCAGAAUAUUACGGAGAUUUUUGGCUCUCUUUGCCUUCGUUUAUUUGUUAGAAAUAAAUUCAGCUAGAAAUUUGUUUGCUAUUCUCCUUUGUUUGAUGAUGUUAGAAGAGCUUUUUAGGGUGGAUUUUAAUUAAAAAGAAUCUCAAUGUUGCUUUUGCUGUAGGGGAAGCUGUUGAGUGCAUGUUAACGAAACAAACACUAGGUUUUUUCAGAAAAAAAAUUCUCUUUUUAGAAGUGCUUUUUUGCAAACUCUAAAACAUCUGAAUUUUUAAUUUUGUUUUUGUUUUUGUUUUUGUUUAUAGGUACUUUUUUUAAAAUAAAUUAGGUUCAAUCUAUCGAUCUGGUGAAGUUUACUAGAAUUGAAGGAAACAAGAAACAUGUCCGCAAGACGAAAAAUUAAAAUUGCAUUGAAGCAAUACUUGUGAUAAACUUCUAAUAUAUGAAAUAAUAACAAUCAAUCGAAAAUAUAUAUAAUAGUUAUAAAUAAAAAGAUAUAUAGUUUUAUCAAACUUAAAAUUUUUAGGUUCAGUUGUUUUGAUACAAAUAGUUGGUAAUGGUAGAAGGGGUUAGAUUGAAAGGAAUAAGAGACGAGGGAGAAGGUAGGAUACAAGAAGUGCAUUGAUCGCACAACACUGAUCACACGAUUGCGGGAGAUCCACAAUCGACGAGAAGGCAGGUACCUCACAGGUAGAAUUUCGACAACGGAAAACACAAAGAGGAGGCAGGGACUAAAAAGUAGAGGAGAGGUAGGAGAAAACGCUGAUUUUGCCGCGAGGAAGAAGCGACAAUGAUUAAGAUGACGUAGAAGACGAUCUCGGCGAAAGCAAGAAGCGUCGACGAUCACACCUGAAAGAAGAAUACCACACCAGCACGGUCACCAAGAAUCACGUAUAGAAGACGCGGCGAUUCUAAAAAGUUGAAAGGUCUUCUUUGGAUUUAGGUUUAUUUUUAUCGGCGAAAAAGAUGUUUUGGGUUGUUGAACCAUCUAAAUCUAAAUAAUUUAAGCCCGAACAGACACUAACUUACAAAAAUAAAAGAAAAUUACAUUCAAAAAUAAAAAAAAGAGUUCUAGUUGCUGCAUCAAACAGCACUUACCUGCAGUUCCAGUCUAACAAAAUAAAUAGUUUUGAGUGUCAUAUUUGUUACUGUCUGAGUAUUAAUGUUCAACACACUGCUUAUGUUCUACAUGAAAUUUAGCACUAAUUCGACUCCGAAUCGGCAAAAAAAAUGGGACUAAAUCCAAAUAUUUGAUGCACUUAAAAGUAGCAUGCUCAAAACACAAAUCCAUCACUGGCAAAUGAAACAUCAUCUGUGCUUAAUAAUCAUACCGAAUUCUAGCCCUCGUCGUUCAGAACCAAUUUCGGCAGAUCCCCGCGAGCGAGCUCAGGAACUCCCCCUUCAAUCUGCAGCUUCUGCUUCUUCUUCUUCUUUCGCCACUUUAUCGACCCCUUGAUCGCGUCCCCGACAGCCCGCAGGGGGUUGCUGAACUUCUCCUUCACCGCGAGGAGGAACGAGACCUCGUUGAACUGCCAGACGGCGAUCCCGACGACGAUCACGGAGAGAAGGCAGUGUGUUAUGAAGUUCUGCCUCUUCACUCUCCUCAGAUCCUUGGCCAUCUCAUUUAGAGCUGCUUCUUCAGUUCUGCUCUUUCUGACAUUUCUGACAUUUCUGACACUUGCUGAUUCGGGCUUCGAUUCGGGCUCGGGCACUUCUUGCUCAUGUGAAUUCUCAAAUGAACGGAUCGAAUCGCCGUCUCUUUCGACCGAAUCCAACUGUUGAUCCGAUAUCGUGAUUGAACAAAUGUUCAAAAUGGAUUCAAUUGUGUGAGACAAAAAAGAAAAGGGUUCAGUCUCUAAGCAAAAUUGGUGCAUUGUGAAAGAUAAUGAAAAUCCAAUACACCAGUAUCUUGUUGAUUCUGAUAGUAACUUAGCUAAUUUGCUGAGGUUUUUGAACUCCACAUGUACUCUCGAGAAUAGUGAAGAUGAUAAUAAAAUGCAAGGAAAUUUAAUUAACGAGAAACUUCUGUAGCCAAUUAACUUUUAGUCCAGUUGGAAGGUAUUCUUAAUUUCAGAGUGCAGGACAGACCCUAAACUCAUUUUUCUUUGUAUUGACAGAUAAAUUUAUUAAAUUCCGUCUAAUCUACUUUCGUACUGACCUAAGCAAACAAAAUAGUAUACCAAUUUCCUCUCAAACAAGUUGAACCUGAAGUAGACAAGUUUUUGAAUAACACAUAACAAUUCAAACUUGCAAUCUUUUGUUGGUAUUUAAUGAUUUUGAUGCAAAAGAAAGAAAAAAAAGAAAACACAGAAUAGAAUGUGAAUUAGGUAAGAAACCUUGAUUAGUAAUCUGGAUAUUAGAAGGUCUUCUUCUUCUUCUUCUGCCUCAAAACCCUUCUGCUUCUGCUUCUGCUUUUUCCCUUCCAUGAGCUGCUGAAAAGCUUCUUGUAUAAGCUCCUUUUUCCUUCUUUUCUUCCUAUCCUCUUCACUAAUAAUUGACUCCAUAGUGAGGGAUAAAAAAUUUUACCAUUUUGUCCUACAUGUAGUUUUUGCACUUAGAUCCUUGAGAAUAACAAUUUACAAACAUAUCCCUAUACGAAAGUUGUACAAAUAAGAUUCUAAAAAUUAGUAUUUAUAUGUAUAAGAUUUUAUUAAGUGUUGAUUUAUUUAUUUUUUAUAUAUGAAUCCUCAGUUUUGGGACAGGUGGCAGCGAGCGCGGAGGCGCGGGCAGGGGCGAGCGCGAGCACGGGCGCGCGGGGCGGGGCGCCGCGUGGCGUGGGCGGGGGCGGGCGUGGGCAGGCGAGGAAGGUCGGCCCGGGCGUGCGGGGAGCGGGCGCGAGCGGAAGCGGGGAAGGAGAGAGGUGGGCCAUGCGGGUGGGGCCCACCCCUUUUUUAUAUUUUUUUUUUAUUUUUAAUCUUUUUCUAUUAAUUUUGAAAAGUAAAUUUUUUUAAAAAUUAAUAUAAUUAUUUUCAUUAUUAUCAAAUCUAAAUAUAUGCGUAUUUUGAAAUAGUUUAGAUUGUAUGUAUUAGAUAUAAAUUUUAAUUUCCUAUGAGAUAGAGGAGAUUGGUUUGAAUUUUCAAACCCCAAAUUACUAGAGGGAAGAGAGAGAGAGAGUUAAAGUAUUAUUAGAUUGACUGAAAUCUCUAAUUAGAAAAUUUGACAAUAAAAGUAAAUUUGAAAGAUUAGAUUUACAUUUUUCAUUCUUAAAAUAUAACCUUGAGUGAGACUUUAAUCAUCGGACUUUAAUGUGUUAUGAUUUAAACUAUGAGGAUGUGAUACUUUUUUCCUCAAAUUUUAAUUAGUUGUAAUUUCUGACUUGAAAAUGAUAUAUCUCAUAUUUCAAGUCAGAAAUUACAACUAAUUAAAGUUUGAGGAUGAUUUUUGCCCUAUUUUUUUAAUUCUUUUUAUUAUUUAAAAAAUAGUUGUUUAUUUCUCAAUUAUUAUUUUUUAUAUAAUUCCUUAACUAUUUUUAUUUUAUUUUAUUUAUUUUUAUAUUUUUAUUAUAGUAAUAGUUGUUUACCACUCAGUUAUUUUUUUUAUAUAAUUUUUUAACGCUUUUUAUUUUAUUUUAUUUAUCUAUUUAUUUUUACAUAAUCAUCUCGCCGCAACACGCGGGUCCUUCACUAGUUUAUCAUUAUGCCUCUUGGAAUCAAUUAAUAUCUUAUAGAGUUUAAUGGUUAGGCUGUAUACAUAUUUUUAUAUAAAGAUUAUCUUUAAUAUAGUGCUUUAAAAAUUGUGUAAGCAAUUUUUAUGAAUUAUGUGUACAAUUAUAUCAGUGGUCCAUUAAAAGAUAGUUUUAUCUAAAGUAUUUGCCAAUCUUUAAGGAACAAAAUAUAGAUUUUUUAAUAUAAAAAAUAGACAGUAAAAAUAUUUACAAUUUUUUUUUCUAUUUUAGCCUAUAAAUAUAUAACAUAUAUAAAAUAUAAUUCUUUAUCUUUUAUAAUCAAGCAAAAUAAUUAGUUGUCAAUUGCAUAUAUUUAAAGCAUAAAAUAGUUAAUCAUUUUAUAAUAUUUUUAUUUUUUAUUUUUUUGGGCUGCUAAGUGCCUCUCACUUUCUCUAACUAACACCUGGCAAUUUAAAGGUCCCAUGAAGUGCAUGGGUUUUUUUGUCUCUUUGCAUUAUAUAGAGAAAAAAAAUAGUAUUUUAUAAUGUAUUAAAAAAAGAAAGAAAGGAAAAAACAAAGUGUGAAAUUGGUAUGUUUAAAAGAUAUUUUAGAGAUGAGUGGAGGCAAAGGACAAUGGUGAGGAGGAGUGGAUGUUUGUGGCUGUGCUCAACUUUUGAAGGUUUUAGUGAUUCCUUUUUGGAGAGCAUGAUGGUUUAUUGGAGGCAAAUGGGGUGAAGGGGACACCUAUGAUUGGGCUUGUUGCUGGAAUGGGAGUAAAAAUGGGUUAAGCUUUUUUUUUAUUAUUAUUAUUUUUAAUAUUUUCACAUGUCGAGCCAAAACAAGGGAAGUGACUAAUCAUGACUCCCAAGGAAAGCACGCCAUGCAAACACAGUUACUUCAAAAAAAAACCUAAAUAUUAACUUCUUUUUUUUUUUUUACUUUUUCUUCCCUAACUUUCAAAAAUUUAUAAUUUACUUUCUUCGUAUUUCAAGUUGUUACAUUUAGCUCCAUCCGUUAGUACGUAUUCUAUUACUAUUCCAUCCAUUUUUUAUAAUUUAUAUAAAAAAUAUUUUUUAAAAUAAUAGAAAAUAUGUUAAAUUUUUAUUUUUUUUUAUAGAAAAGAUAAAAAUAAUUUGGUCAUUUUGUCCUCUCUAUUAACAUCGUAGUUUUCUGAAAAUAUUCCUAAAAUUUUAAGAGUAUAAAAAUAUAGAUUUUCGAAAGUCGGUGAGGAAAAAUAAAAAAGUAGGCAUUUAUAAGAUAAUUUUNUAUGAAAUAGAUGAAACAGCGACAGUACCUAGUAUGCAGGUUCGUAAAAAUCAAAAGAGCAUAAUAAAAAAAGAAAAAACUUCAAAUAUCACUUCCGUGGUUUCUCAUUUUCUUAUUUUAGUACUUUAUGGUUUAAAGUAUAUCACCUUCAUACCCUGUGACAUUAUUUUUUUCUUUUGAUUAUCCCUUUUCACUAAUUUUUUCGUUAAAUCAGUGACAAAUUUAAAACGAAAUAAUAAUAAAGUGAAUAUUCGAUAAACUACAGAUGGGAUAUCUAAAGUUUUUUAUAUAUAAUUUAAUGAAAAGUUAACGGGGGGCUGACGAAAAAAGACAAAUAAGAUUAUAAAAUAAUAAAUUGAUACACUUUAAAUUAUAAAAUACUAAAAUAAGAAUGUGCAAAAUCAAAGGGAUGGUACGUGAAGUUUACCCUAACUAAAAUACUAUUACGCCAACACGGAUCGCGACACGUGCCCCCGCCACACCACCACCGGAGAACGCGACACGUGUCCCCUCGCACCGCCACCCCCACCCCCUUCCCCACACGUGCGAAUCGAAUCAUUACCCCCGCACCUCCGCCCACACGUGCGAACCCAAUCCCCCCAAAUUCGAAUCCAUACCCCCCCACAACCAUCAUUCCCCCACUCACUCUCUCUCUCUCUCUCUCUCUCUCUCUCUCUCUCUCUAGAGCUCGGAGAGCAACAACAAUGGCGGAUUGGGCGCCGGUGGUGGUGGGGGUGGUGCUCUUCGUGCUCCUCUCGCCGGGCCUCCUCAUCGAGUUCCCCGGCUCCCGCCGCCCCCUCGACUUCGGCGGCUUCCGCACCAACGGUAAGGCCGUCUUCUUCCACACCCUCAUCUUCUUCGCCCUCUUCUCCAUCCUCAUCGUCGCCCUCCACCUCCACAUCUACACCGGCUAGGGUUAGGGUUUCUCUUCCCCCCGGGGAGCGAUCGCCGUGGGUUUAGGGUUUCGAGGUGGGAGAUCUCUCUCUCUCUCUCUCUCUCUCUCUCUGGGUUGUUGUGAUGUUGUUGUUUAUGUGAUUUUUGUGGCAUUUAAUCUAAAAAUAGUAAUUAAAGAGACGAGACUCGUUUUGUGAUGAUGCUGUGAAAUAUCAUCUUAUGCAUCUAAUUUUCAAAUUUUAGCUUUUUAUUUGAAUUUUGAAUUUGAUGUUUGUGGUUUAUUAGGUAAUAGAAUUUAAAUUAGUUAUAGCAUAUUAUAAAUAGCUUAUAAAUACUUCUCUAAUAUUUAACUGUGAAUAUAUUAUGUGACAUAUAUUUUAAAAUUGGAUUAAUUUCAUAUGAGUCCCUGCAAAUAUAGUGAAUAAUAAAUAUAUUCCUAAUAAGUUCAACUUUCAUAUGUUGUCCUUAAUAUUUUCAAAUAUAUUCCUGGCGCCGUUAGAAUCUGUUAGAAAAAUUUAGUUAAUCAUAGGUUAAAUACUUAAUCCUGAUUAAUUUUUGACAUUUUUAUUUCUUUUAUAUUAUACUGUUAUGAUAUUUGAAGAGAUAUAUUUAUGACGGCAAAAUUGAAAAUAUAAAUAGUUCUUUAACGGUUCUCUAACGAUAACAAAUCAGAGGGACGUAUUUGAAAAUAUCAAAAUUUUUUUAGGAACAAUAUAUAAAAGUUAAAUUUUGUAAGGAUAAUAUAUUUGUAGUGACCUUUAUGAAAUUAACCCUUUAAAAUUUGUAAGGAUAACUGCAUACAACUUUCUGUAAACAUAUCGAAUAACAAAUAUAUUUUUAUAAAGUUUAAUUUGUUAUUUAUAUUCCUGUAAGAGUACAGUGAUAUUCAUAUUUAUCCCUUUGGUUUGUUACUAUUAAAGUAUUUUUUUUUACAGCAGAUAUAUAAAAUGAUAUUUUUGUCUUUAUAAAUAUAUCACUCCAAAAGCUCCCACUGUUAAAAAUAUUUAGAAUUAUACAAAAAUGUCCUCUCAAAUAAGUAUUUUAUCCAAUAACAUAAGAGGGAUAAAAAAAUUAAUUUAACUUAUUUAUUAAUCAGUGUUAAGUUUUUUUUACUUAUGAUUAACUAUAUUUUUCUAACGAAUCUUAAUCGUAGGGAUAUAUUUGAAAACGUUGGAACUUUUUAGAGAUAAAAAUAAAAAAGUUGAACUUUUUAGUGAUAUAUUUUCUAUUUGAUAUGUUUACAGGAAGCUAUAUGCAAUUAAGGUUUAGUUUGGUAUUGAGACCCAUCUGAUACUAUUAGACAAAAUUGAGUUCGGAUAAAAGCAUAUAGGAAUAUGUUUUUGCAUUCUUUGGUGGGAUCGCAGAAAAUAUAUCGUAAUUGACUCAUCGCGAUAUGCGGAACGUAAAAUUACUUACGAAAAUAAAUAUAAUAUUUUUUUAUCGUACUUUUUGACUGUGCGUAAAGCAAUGGUAGGAUUUUUGUGGUUGUCCUUUGUUGAAAUGUCCAUAUGAACUUUAUAAUUGUGUGGUUUAGCCUGUUUAGUCAUGGAUCAAUGAUAGCAUGCUCUUUCUCAUUAAUUCUCAAAAUUUGACCUGUGACAAGUACAUUGAGUAUUAGUUCAUUUUUGUAUAAGAUUUUCAAUAAUACAGAAAAUUAGGAGUUUAAUUUUCUUUUCUCUUUAAAAGUUGGUGUCAUCUAUAAUUUGAUAGAAUGGUAUAUUUCUUAUUUUAUUUUAAAAAUAAUAAUAAUUUGAAGGUUGAACAUAAUAUCCAUUCUGAAUACUUAAUCCUACAUCUCACUUUUAAAAAUAUUUUUUUUUAGUUUUAAAUUUUUUUUAAAGAAAUUAUCAUCUAUCAUUUGGACAUGUGUAUUGCAAGCUAAUCAAUUAUUAUAGUAAGAGAGAUUUUUUUUUUAAUCAAUAUAUCAAAUUAUAUAUUAAUUAGUGUUUAAAAAAAUAAAAAAAAAUAUCAAUUGUGCCAAGCAAGUCCUUUUUUUUAUCUUAUUUAUGGCUGUUGAUAUAAUUCUAUUCCAUUUAUGUGAUUUAUUUAUCAACAUUUUGUGGCUUUGAGUUAUGUAAGCAUCUGAUUCCACAAAAUUGGGCCAGUUCCUGAAACAAAAGAUACUCGGGGUAUAUCUGCAAAUUGCAGUGAAUUUGAACAAAUAUUUGUAUUUCGUUAUCUAAAGUUUAAAAAAUUUUAAUUUAACAUCUAAACAAUCAAUAUGAAUUUCCGUGAAAUCCUCUAAACAGUGUUAACAAGUUGCAGAUGGUAGAUUUAAACUUUUCAAAUUUAUUUAUUUAUUUAUUUUUUUGAGAGAUAGAUAGCCCGUUACCUACUUGCUCUAGGAACGGUCGGUUUUUCAAAUUUCAAAUGAUGAAUUAUUUACGUGUGAAAAUUAGUUUCGAGGCUCUUGUUCCAGAAUCUAAUCGUAUAGUACGAUUAAAAUAUGCAUUACUCAUAAGUUCUUUGUGAAUCGUAACCGUUAACCAACUAUCUCAAAAGCACGUGCUGAUAGGAAUGACAUAUCCAUCAUACUUAAGGGCUCAGUCAUAGCGCUCGUGGGACCUUCACUCAACUUAUAUUAGGCUCACGUAAUUCAACUUAUUAGUUUUCUGAGCUUAUUGAUUUUGACCUAUUUCAAUCCAUCUGAAUGUUGGGUUUAUUAUUGGGCCUUUUGUUGUUAGGUCUUUUGUGGACUACACCUUCACUCAACUUAUUAGGCUCAUCCAACUCAACUUAUUAAUCUUCUAGGCCUAUUGUUACAGGGCAGGAUAUUGGACAUAUUUUAGCCCAAUAGCCAACAAUCCCUCCCAACACCUGCAUCGUUAAUGCAGCAUGUGGGAAUCGAACCCGCGCCAUCGAUUCUAAUACCACCUGUGGAUCGUAAGCAUUAACCAACUAUCUCGAAAGCACGUGCUGAUAAAAAGGUCGCACCCAUCGCAUUUAAAGGCUCAAUCACAGCGCUCGCGGGCUUCGGCCUGACUCAAUCCACCUAGACGUAGAGUCGAUUGUCGGGUUUCUUACCGUUAGGUCUUUUGUGGAUAACACAUCGAUUCAACUUAUUAGACUCAUCCAACUCAACUUAUUAAUCUCUCGGGCCUAUUGUCACGGGACAAGAUGUUGGACCUAUUUUUGUCCAAUAAUAAAUAGCCAACACUCUUCUGAGGGAUCAACACUAAGUUAGCUUCGGGAUCUGCUUUGGUGCCAUUAGAUAUAAUUUAAAGUAUUCAUAAGCAAAAGAAAUCGAGACAAUACAAAAUUCGAUGAUUUUUUAAACAAGAAGAUACAAAAGUAAUGUAGUUUCAUUUCAAAUUAAGAUUAUGAACACAAGAUUUGGUUUGAGUUCAAUUUGUAAUGCAACACUUACCAGAUGCAUCACUUGAAGAGAAGUUUACAACUAAAGGUCACCAAGGAUUAGAGGAAACUGAACAAUCUUAAGAUAUCAUCAGCCCGCGUGCACGUGAACGCCAAUCGCGACGACGAGGAUGGUGAGGAUCGCGAAGAAGAUGAUGGCGUGGACGAGGAUCGAGAUGCCGCUCGUGUACAUGUUCCCGAACUCGAUGAUUCUCGUCCUCGACGGCAGCUGAAACAAGAGCCCUGGCGAGAGGAGGAUGAAGAGGACCACCGCGACGAUCACGGGACCCCAAUCCGUCGACAUGUCGAAACAACUUCUCCUCUUUCUCCUUCUCCUCCUUCUUUAACUUUGCGAUCGAGAAAGCGAUUUAAAGUUGAUUUAUUCUUGUUCUUCUUCUUUAGUUAAGCAAGUUUAUACUAAAGGGUGGUAGAGUGAAGCACAAGUGUGUGUGUGUGUGUGUGUGUUUGAGAGAGAGAGAGAGAGAGAGAGAGAGAGAGAGAGAGAGAGGGGGUAACUUCUUUUUCUCCCCCAUUCCCUUUUUAGAGUUAGUGGAAAUAAUACAUGCAUGCUUUACACUAAUGCAUGCACUUUGUGACUUUCUCACAAAG